CCAGGUCUGGUUAGAUUUCUGAAAGGUCAGGGAGCACAUUGAACACAUCAAGGCAUCAUGCCUCAUUUUAAAGGGCCCAUGGGACACCGUAGUGGAGCUGUCCAACAGGUGCUUGUUUAUAUCAGUCUGGCCUGAGGAUUUAGAGUUGGAAAAUUACCACCAUUCAAAGGUCUUGUUCAGUUUGCUGUGUUCUCUACUGCCAUCUGGUGGUCAAGAAGGAUCAAUCACUGCCCUUGCAAUGAAGAACUCUAUGAAAGCGAAGGCUUGGCCAUUUUGUGUUCAGCUCCUUCCAAUGAUGAGGAACAAAGAGGGAACAACUUUUAAAAGAUGACAGGGAUUCAAACACAGGACUGUUUGACUCAAGCUCCAAAUCCUUCCAUUCUACUAGUUGGCCAUAACUACACCCACGACUGCACUUCAGACUCCUGAUAACCAAGCCCCAAGAAUGGAAACUGUUUUAGUGGGAUUAAUACCCAAAGCUGACUAGAAGUUCCCUGAUCCACUUUUGUUGCUAGCAUUCUGGGCAGGAAUCUUUCAAGCCAUUGAGUUAAGGCAUUCUCCCAGAAGUUUGAAUGUACACAUAUUACUGUCAAGGAAUAAUAGUUUAACAUAUAAUUUCCCAGAUUGUUCAUAGUACUUAAGAAUUCUAGUGCUCUUUCAGGCAUGGUGGCACACGCCUGUAGUCCCAGCUACUUGAGAG
rnacentral:lncRNA from 10 species